GAUGAACGCUGGCGGCGUGCCUAAUACAUGCAAGUCGAGCGAACGGACGAGAAGCUUGCUUCUCUGAUGUUAGCGGCGGACGGGUGAGUAACACGUGGAUAACCUACCUAUAAGACUGGGAUAACUUCGGGAAACCGUAGCUAAUACCGGAUAAUAUUUUGAACCGCAUGGUUCAAAAGUGAAAGACGGUCUUGCUGUCACUUAUAGAUGGAUCCGCGCUGCAUUAGCUAGUUGGUAAGGUAACGGCUUACCAAGGCAACGAUGCAUAGCCGACCUGAGAGGGUGAUCGGCCACACUGGAACUGAGACACGGUCCAGACUCCUACGGGAGGCAGCAGUAGGGAAUCUUGCGCAAUGGGCGAAAGCCUGACGGAGCAACGCCGCGUGAGUGAUGAAGGUCUUCGGAUCGUAAAACUCUGUUAUUAGGGAAGAACAUAUGUGUAAGUAAAUGUGCACAUCUUGACGGUACCUAAACAGAAAGCCACGGCUAACUACGUG
rnacentral:rRNA from 1 species